rnacentral:rRNA from 1 species
GAUGAACGCUGCCGGCGUGCCUAAUACAUGCAAGUCGAGCGAACGGACGAGAAGCUUGCUUCUCUGAUGUUAGCGGCGGACGGGUGAGUAACACGUGGAUAACCUACCUAUAAGACUGGGAUAACUUCGGGAAACCGGAGCUAAUACCGGAUAAUAUUUUGAACCGCAUGGUUCAAAAGUGAAAGACGGUCUUGCUGUCACUUAUAGAUGGAUCCGCGCUGCAUUAGCUAGUUGGUAAGGUAACGGCUUACCAAGGCAACGAUGCAUAGCCGACCUGAGAGGGUGAUUGGCCACACUGGAACUGAGACACGGUCCAGACUCCUACGGGAGGCAGCAGUAGGGAAUCUUCCGCAAUGGGCGAAAGCCUGACGGAGCAACGCCGCGUGAGUGAUGAAGGUCUUCGGAUCGUAAAACUCUGUUAUUAGGGAAGAACAUAUGUGUAAGUAACUGUGCACAUCUUGACGGUACCUAAUCAGAAAGCCACGGCUAACUACGUG